rnacentral:rRNA from 1 species
AUGGCAGCCAUCCUCGGGCGCGCCGGCACCACCGCCAGCGGCGGCUUCCGGCGGCACCAUCAAGAAACCAGCCGCGGCGGCCGUCGGCGAGGUGCGGUCGUCGUCGCGGCCGUGACCGGCGCCGCGCCGCAGGAGGGGUCGCUGGAGCGGCCGGCGUGGUCCGGGGAGACGCCUGUGUCGCGGCUCGUCGCCGCGCUCAUCGCCUUCAAGCCGCUCUACUCCCUCAUGAAGGUCGCCUCCCGCGAGGUCAUCAUCAGGACGGCGGAGAAGUCCAACAUCCCGUGGAGGGAGAUGACGAGGAAGGUGCUGGAGUCUGACGUGUACGAGGUGUUCGAGAGGAUAAGAGACCCCGACAUCGUCUACCCUGACUAUUAUCUGAGCCCAUUCCACGCCUAUGACGAAGGGAACCUAUCAUGGCUGGCUGCAGCUGAGGCUGAGGCCGCGACCUUGUCGAUUGCAAAGAGGGCCAUACCCGAGGCUACUUCCAUCGAAGAAGCGAACCAGAUUGUUCGGGGAAACUGGAUGAAUGCAAUUGAGGAGCAUCACCUCAAGCACGGGGGGGAAAACUGCCAGAUCAAUGACAUUUUGGACAUUGGCUGCUCUGUUGGAGUGAGCACCAGAUACCUGGCUGAGAGGUUCCCUUCGGCUAAGGCUGUUGGACUAGAUCUAUCGCCCUACUUCCUGGCCGUGGCAGCACAGAAGGAAGAACAACUGUCUCGGCAAAACCCUAUUCGUUGGGUUCAUGCAAAUGGUGAAGCGACUGGGUUGCCACCGAAUUCAUUUGACGUCGUCUCCCUUGCUUAUGUGUGCCACGAGUGUCCAGCACGAGCAAUAAUCGGAUUGGCGAAGGAAGCAUUCAGACUGCUUCGUCCAGGAGGAACCAUCGCCUUAACCGACAACUCACCAAAAUCAAAAGUACUCCAGGAAUUAUCACCCGUUCUGUUCACUCUUAUGAAGAGCACCGAACCGUUCCUGGACGAGUACUACAUGCUGGAUCUGGAGGAGGCGCUCAGCCAAGCAGGCUUCGUCAAUGUGUGCUCCGUGCUGACAGACCCCAGGCACAGAACGGUCACUGCCACUGUACCCUACUGA